AACGUUUCAUUUUAGAAGAGGAUUUCCAUAUCCAUCUUUCGUGCGGAGGACGCCUUGUCUUCAUUCAAACAAAAGCCGCUGGAGUUCCUCUUACAACAUUCAUUUACACUGCCAGGAAUUUGCGAUCGAGAGAUUUUUCAGGCCUCAAGGCCGUCAAUGUCGACCAGCUCCUCACCGAUCAACCCCACGUUUCCGCCCUUGUCCGUGAAUCCCUCAACCGCGGUGUGUUUGAGGGGACAAAAUGAGGGGACAAAGUGGAUUUAUCACAAACAUCACAGUGUGCCCACCUAUCUUCUGUGGUGUGUUUUCUGAUGCAGGACUCUGUCACAGGCCUGCCUUCAGAAGCGGGUGGGCCCACUGUAAUGUUUGUGAAAUAAGUACAGGAUAUGGAGGCAUGAAAAAUGUGGUGUGGUCAGUUGUAAAGGAACAACAUGUUUGGGCAUGGAAGUAUCAUGGGUAGUUCCCAUAUGGUGAAAUCUUUCUUGGUAGAAUAAGGCGCGAGUUUGGAUACGGUUCCUAGUCAAUGGCCGAGGUUCCGUGAAUGUGGGGCCCAUGUUUUCUAACAUAAAAGGUCCCGUCGGUGGGCCCCACCAUAGCUGGCAAAUGAAAAAAAACCAUUGAUCUGAUAGUUCCACUAUCAUUUCUGAAAAGAUCAUUCGUAAGAUUCUCAAAAGAAUCUGUCAAGCUUCUAGUUAGACGUUGUAUCAGAUUAGUUUCGGCCAAUGGUUUAGAAUCUAGAAUGCUUUGUUAUCUAUCUUUGUACAUGGACUCGUCAAACAACAGCUCUUUAGAUGUUUGGUAUUUGGUUAUUUUGUAAUUUCUAUUGCUGAAUUAUUUUAAUUGCGCGUUUGUUGAGUUGGUUGCUUUUUUUAAUGUUCCGUGGCAUUUUAUUCCUUUUCUUUGGGGGUUGGAAACACAUGCCAUUGGUUGUUUGUAUGUGGGCCCCAGUUGUUGGGCCCACUACCUAUUUGAUUCUAUGCCUUGGAAGAAUUCAUAUAUAUGUAUACUUACAAGGAAGGAGGUAGUAACCGGGCAGGCUCUUUUGCAAUUCUAUUUUCUUUGUUUGGAGUCUUGGAGUUGAGAAAAAGCUGUUUUGGGUUUUGAAAAGUAUAAAUUAAAGUCAGUGUGUAUUUUAAUUUAUUUUUUAUUAUUUUAUUUUUUUUUGGAGCAUGGAUUAAAGUCUACUGGAUUUUUUUAUUUUCAUUUUCUGACACUGAGCGAGCGUUUGGGCAGCCUCUCUUUCAAGGUAUGACUUCUAAAAUUGAAUUCCUAGUUGCUCCAAUUGUAUUUUUUUUUCUUUGAAUGAAUUGGUGUUUGAAUUCUGUUAUCUUCAUUCUUGGGUGGUGUUUGGUUUUGUUCUUGUUCGUGAUUGGGUAUUGUAUUGAAGGAUGUUUGUUAUGAAUUUUGGUUUUGGCAAUUCUUGCUGAUCAUAACUUGAUGACGAUGACGAUGACGAUGAUGGAUCCUACAGUGAAUUGAUUUUCCUAUGGGAAACUGAGUUUUCUCUGCUGCAUGAUAAGGUGGUACAUACUGCAAGCGGAACCCUUGUGCCUUGUAGAAUCCUUUUCACAUAAAGGUGGUUAUUACAAAUGGACGUCCCCCUCAAGGGUGAGGAUAAUAGUACCUAUCUGUCCAGAAAUGGAAGGAAGACGCCUUUUCAUAUUUUUCUCAACGAUGCAAGGUACCUUUUUGUUAUGUUGCUUAUAGAGGAAAUUUCUCAUCCAAGAAAUGCAUUGCGGUGAUUUCAUCGCUGGUGGGGAUUUGAGGAAUCACAAUAUGUAGAGACUUCAAAGAAAUGACAGUAAUUCGUUCCAA